ACAUUCACUUUAAAUAGGGCACCGUCUAAAUCCGUUGAGACGACACCGUAUGAAUUAUGGUUUGGAAAGAAACCUAAGCUGUCGUUUCUGCAAGUUUGGGGAUGUGAUGCUUAUGUCAAGAAACUUCAACCUGAAAAGCUCGAACCCAAGUCGGAAAAAUGCGUAUUCAUAGGAUACCCUAAGGAAACUGUAGGGUAUACCUUCUACUUAAGAUCCGAAGGCAAGAUCUUUGUUGCCAAGAACGGAUGCUUUCUGGAAAAAGAGUUUCUCUCAAAAGAAGUAAGUGGGAGGAAAGUAGAACUCGAUGAAGUACUACCUCUUGAGCGGGAAAGUGGCGCAGCGCAGGAAACCGUUCCUGUGAUGCCCACACCAACUGAGGAGGAAAACAAU
rnacentral:rRNA from 1 species